CAAAGAAGAAGAGAAGAAUAGGAAUCAAAACGUUGCGAGUGGAAAUUAAACUUAAUGGGCUCAAUCUACUGGGUUCUUGUGGGCUUUGUUAAAUCUUUAAAUGUUCGUAUAAUGAGUUAAAUACAAAUAAAGUAGAACCUUUAUCACCAAUUCGGCCUUAGCAAAGUGGUUGAGUCUCAGCUGAGCUCAGUUCCCACCAGGGUUCGAUCUAUAUUGGUACCACGUUAGGCUUCUUCCGAGCAAUCAGUCUCGAGGAUGCUUCUUUCCGCCGGACGGAUGUCUCGGUGCGCUUCUACUUCCCCUUGUGGAAUGUAGCAAUCUUCCCAGUGCUAUCUGGAGUCAAGUUCCCAGUUCUAUCUGGAGAAAUAUCUCCGAGGUCCUAUCCUCGUGGAUGUCGUCCUGUCUUCCACCAUCAUUGUGGAAACGAUUUUGAGAAGUCUUUGUAUUGAGUACUCAAUUCAAAUCUUGUUCAGAACUUUCGGCGAACAGUUUGUGGGCUUAAAGUGA
rnacentral:lncRNA from 1 species